rnacentral:lncRNA from 1 species
AGGCUUUCUACUGUCAAUGUUCAAUUAGCCCUAAAUCUGAUGUAAUCCACAAUAAGUCCACGUGUUCAUAAGGUUUUCUACUCUCUCUUCCUCUCUCGUACGUAAGGCUUUCUACGCUCUCUCGCUCUCUUUUUCUUCUAAUUGUUCUAAUUAUGGUCUAGGGUUCCACCAAAUUCAAUGAGACAAUUCAACUCAAUUUUGGUCAAAUAAACAAUAGACUGUUAGUUUAUUUUUGGCUCUGCAAGGAGAUGAAUUUUGAUAUGAAUUUUCUAAUUUAUAUGAGGACACAUUUUUAAUCCCAUCUGAAUAUCAGCAAUCACAAUCCCAUCUGUAAUCCCAUCAGCAAACUCAAUUUUAUUUGUAAUCCCAUAUUCAGUUUGAGUUAUACCUCAUAUUCAUAUUCAUAUGAAUUUCUAAUUUCUAUCUUAUAUAUAUGAAUUUGAGUUAUAAUCCAUAUGAAUUUGGUAGAAUUGUCUCGUUCAAUUUAUUGGCUCUGCUCGACCUAAGGAAAAGUGGAAACAUUUGUAAUCUCAUCUGAAUAUCAGCAAUCAUAAUCCUCUACCCACCUCCCCUAAAACAGACUCGCAAACUAAAAGCUAAUAAAGGAAUAAAAAAGAAAAGGAGAAGUGCAGUUUGAUAUCUCCAACUAGAAUUAUCUAACCAACCCUAGAAAGAUGAUAUUUCCAUGCUGUUUCUCUAGUAAUAAGCCUGCAAAUUCUUAGAAUCCUGUUAUAUUAAUUUUACGAUAGAAUUUGAAAGAUGACGACAAUGUAAAUAAGAAUUUAAUUUCUGAUGCAGAUUAAGAAGAAUGAACUAGCUGAGGAGAAUUUUUCUGCAGGAGUAAGCAAAUAUGAUUAGGUAAUUAUAUUGCACGAGUAUUCGUUAUCAGGUUGUCAAACUUUUAUCAUUUGAUUGAUAUUUCCGAUCUAUAUAGAAAUCUGGUAUUAUGCAGAAAUUUAUGAGUAUGUGGCAUUUUUUGGGACUAAAUGACCCAGUCUUUACUUCUUUUUGUAAAUUAAUUUUUUGAGAGAUGAAGCAAGACAUACCAAUGAGCAUUUCAGAGCUUGUUCAUAUAAAUCGAAAUUAAAUUGAUAUUUUGGUGAAUUUUCAAAGCUAAAGGUAUGAUGCAGAAACACAGAAAUUCAGCAGCCUAACCUGUUUUGAAUGAAAUCUUUGACAUUAUUUCUCAACUCCAAAUCGAAUGAAUCAUGACAUGAUUCCUUAAUUUGAUUAAUUGUUAUUAUCUAUCGUUGUAGGAUAACACAUAUGCUCCUGACGUAUAUAGUCUUUAUUGCUUCAGUACAGUCGGUAAUAGAUGGAGAGAUUGAAAGUGUCG